UGUGGUAUUACCGGGGUGCGAACCCUUGUGCCAGUGGAGGGGGGUGGCUUAUAUAGAGUGCGCCAGGACCCCAGCCCGCCCACGUUACAAGGAGUUCAAUGUACAUAAAGAGAGAGAACGUUAUAGGUAACGUCUACAAUAAAGUGCUAUUAGUGAUCGUUAAGUAUAUGGGUAAACGCCCGACCGUUGCUGCGCGGAGUGGCUUUAGGUCUUCUGCACGUCGAGUGGUUUAGUCGUCGAGUGACUUAAAUAAGGAGGGGUCUCCGAGUGAAUGAUAAGUCGAGUGGAUUGCACUCGAAACCUUUGUUGGGCCCUCUCUAUUUACUCUUGAACUUCUUUGCUUUUAGGACAAGGGCCUUAGGUAGGACGUAUAGGUCAAGGUUAUUACCCUACCCCAGGUCUAUGUCCUCAUCAGGGCCAGGUGCUAUGAUUGAUGUUCUGCUCCCCAAAAGGACUAAUGCCAUUCGCGCUUACACCAAACCAUAUGUUCCUUGCGUCAGCUGCAAAGUCUCCACUGCGACCCAUCAGCGGGUGCUCUCAACUCUCCGUCUUUCUUACAGUCUUCUUUGUGCCAUCGCAUCAACUUGGCAUGCUCUUUGUUUUUGAACAGACGUUUCAGCCGUGGUAUUAUAGGAGCAUACCACAUCACCUUGGCAGGAACCCUCUUCCUGGGGCGCUCGCCCUCAACAUCACCAGGGUCAUCUCGUCUGAUCUUAUACCGCAAUGCACCACAUACCUCGUAAUCACCGCGGUACAGGAUGCAGUCAUUAGGGCAUACAUGUAUCUUCUGCACCUCUAAUCCUAGAGGGCCGAGAACCUUCUUUGCUCCGUACGUACUGUCAGGCAUUUCGUUAUCCUUUGGAAGCUUCUUCAUCAUUGUUUUCAGUAGCUGCUCAAAUCCCUUGACAGAUACACCAUUCUCGGCCUUCCAUUCCAGCAUUUCCAGUGUGGUACCGAGCUUUUUUUUGCCAUCUUCGCAAUUUGGGUACAACGGAUUUUUGGGAUCCUCUAACAUGCGAUCGAACUUCAACUUCUCCUUUUCAGUCUGGCAUUCUCUCUGUGCAUCAACAAUGAUCUGGCGAAGAUCAUCAUCAGGCACAGCCUCUGGUUCCUCUUGAUCUUCAGCUUCCCCCAUUGCAGCAUCACCUUAUUCAGGGGGCACAUAGUUUUCAUCAUACUCUUCUUUUUUGUUGUCUUCCAUCAUAACUCAUGUUUCUUCAUGCUUGGUCCAAACAGUAUAGUGUGGCAUGAAACCCUUCUCAAGCAGGUGGACGUGAAGGGUUUUCGACGAAGAGUAAAACUUCGCAUUCCCACAGAUAGGGCAUGGACAACACAUAAAAACCAUUAUGCUUGUUUGCCUUAGCCACUUCGAGAAAAUUACGCACGCCCUUAAUGUACUCGGAGGUGCGUCUAUUACCGUACAUCCAUUGUCGGUUCAUCUGGGUGCAUUACAUAUAAUUAAGUGUGUCAAAAACCAUUACAGAACAUCAUGAAUAGAGAAGUGACCAAAUUAAUAGAAGUUCAUCAUCACAUUAAAACCAAAGUACUGUAAUGAUCAAAUGUUAUUACUGGAAAAAUAAAUACAUAAAGUUCAUACAUAGUUCUCAUAGAACAACAUAUAGCUCUCUAGCUAGAGCAUCUAAUUAAAACAUACACUGAGAUUAUCGCAACUAAGGUAACAGUUGAUCCAGUAGUAUAAUGAUACCAAGCCUCAUUAUCAAUGGCAUAUUUUCUUAUCUUUCUAAUCUUCAGGCGCAUUGCAUCCAACUUGAUCUUGUGAUCAUCGAUGACAUCGGCAACAUACAACUCCAGUUUCAUCUUCACUUCUUCAAUUCUUUUCAGUUUUUCUUUCAAAUACUCGUUUUUCUUUUUCAACUAAAUUUAAAUUCUCGACAAGAAGUUCUAUGUCGGUUCGAAUUUCCGAUUCACAUACCUCCUAGAUAAAAACAUCUAUGUCACGUUGGUCGGCAUAAUUGUCAUAAACACUAAAUGAAACAAAUAGUUAUAAAAGAUAAUAUACCACAUCCGAAUCAUAGACAGGACGACGGCCGACGGGGGUGGAUACCAAAACCAUCGCUCUAUAUAAUAACAAACAAUAGUAUAAUUAAUAAAACUAGCAAAGUGGCCCGCUCGAUGCGCGGGCUAGAACUUUAGAAACUUUAAUAAUGAAUCUUGGACUCCAUAUAAACAUACACAAAUGGUUAAAGAGCAAUCAACGAAUGCAUACCUAUCAACCUCUUUACAAACACCAUUAAUAUUGUCAUAAAUAUUUUCAACAUAUUUAUGUUUCCAAACGUGUUUUCAAUAUAUAUCUUGUCAUGGCGAUGCUUGAUAACACUUAACUGUUUGUGGUUGAAUUGUCUUGACCAUGUGAGGAAAGAUCGGUAGUUGGAUGGAACAAACACAAAAAAAUGUGUACUCAUCAAAUUUUUUCAAUUUAUAUGUUCUCAUCGUGAUGCUGAUAGCAUUUAUUUAUUUGUUUGUGGUUGAAUAAGUCCGUGCAUAGGUUAUGUGAUGGUUUCAGUGCACACCAUCCAAUCAUUUUGUUUUUGUCGAUCAAGACCAGAUCUAGCACUAUAUUCCUAUAAGUAGUUAAGAUUUUCUUUACUAUUCAUCCAUUUCCUUUGCUUUAUCCUGAGUAAUACAAUCAAUGAUUAAAUCCUUCUGUUCGUGUGCUUGUAGGGGAAAGACCAUCUUUUGUAUUGAAAUAAUCAGAAUUAGAAUUACAGUCCUAUAUUAAUAUUAUUUAUUGUUCAAUUAUGGUGCUAGAUUUAAUAUGCCUUUGUAAGUCAUAGAGACAAUGUUCUAUGGAGGACAUAUAUAUGGAAGCUACUUCAUAAAAAUUUAGUGCAGAAAUGGAAAAUAUGUAAUAGUAAAAUAACAACAAUACUAUAGAAGAAUGAAAAUACCAUGAGAGGUAAUUUAAUUAGAAGCAUGCACAAGCAUAUUCAAUGUAGGCAGAAUGACGCGAACAUUUGCGCAAACUGAUGCUUAAUUUGACCCUAGGUAAAAUUUUGAACAGAGGUCAAAUGGUAAGUACAAACACAUUAUAACAAUCUAUAAAUUGUAUGUAUAUAUGGUAAGAAUGCUAAAAACGUGUCAAAUUCUAACUAAAGAGCUAUAUAAAUUAUAUAAAUUGUAACUACAGUCAUGUUAAUAUCCCCUCAAAAUCAUGAUGAACAUUUUGAAGUUGUAUAGCACUUUCAAACCUUCUACAAUUUUCUGAUAUUUUUUUAGGAAGCAUAGCUCCUGGAAUUCGUCAUCAUUAUGCACUGCAACUGAUCUAUACAUUUGGAUGCAGCAACAUUACAGGCUUAUCGCAUGUCUCUACAUAAUGUGAAUAACAUUAUGAACAAUUGUGGGAAUUGUCUAAAGCAGGUUUUGCAUAGGAAGUGAAGGGAAUAGGAAAGUCGAGCCAUUCUUAUACUGAUAUGAUUCCGCUUUUUCAAAAUUGACGAAACUACCAAUAAUGAAGACAAAUAUAUGAUCUACCACUUGGAUUGUUUGCAUUCACUGGUAACAUAGGAAACUCACACAUUACUUUGAACUUCUAUACUUAACACUAAAGUAGUGAAUAUCAUGUUCUGAUGUAGGAAUUACAGUAAAAUUAAUCGUGUUAAGGUAACUCCAGUAGAAUGAAGGUAAUCCUGCCAUAACUAAACAAUCUACAAUCACAUCAUCACCUUAACUGGUAGCUAAAAAGGACACAUAUACUGUCCACUUAACCAUAUGCUCGUUAUAAUGGCCUGAUUUAUCCUUAUAUCAUAAAAUCUACACAAAGCAAUUGGUCAUUAAUACAUGAAAUUUUAUUCACUUCUUCUACAUCGAUUCUUGGAAAUAGUAAAUUAUCCCGGUAUAAUUCUUUCCAUAUAAUGUGUGAAAACUACAUGGGAAUUAUGAGGUAGUUAGAGGGUUAGUGCAGGCGAACAAACAGGAGGUCACCGUGGAUUGUCUAUAGUCAACCCUGUCAGAAAAUAUCCGUAUUAGUUCCUUAAUUAACCUCGUCGUCGGUGCCGCUUCCUCGUUCCAAUCACCAGUGUAUCCCCGCGUACUUCGUGUCAACAUGUUCGUUUUUUGAGCCCUAUUAAUUUCUCAAGGUGCAAUACAUACAGGUGCAAAGCUAGCCAAGAGAAACAUCAAUUUAUGUCUCCAGCAGCUUGUGGCCUGUUGUGAUAGCGAAAGGUUAUCACGAUGUUUAGGAGAGAGCUGCUCAGAGAAACGACCAGUCAGGUAUGGAGUCUAUGGCAAGCUGCACAUGUAGUGUCUACGGCAAGCUGCACACGUAAUUCUCAACCUAGCUGAUCUCUGCGUCCAUGUCAUGGUCGAACUGCAAGCCAGGAACUACAGUACGCACGACUCAUGAUGUACGCAGUACGCACUGAUGUGAGCUGCUAGGCUGCUACUUUCAUGUUCUUUUAGUGAGGUGCGAGCUGAUUGUGCGUUGGUUGAUCUUCAUCCGUCCAGAUGCAAACUCUGCCUAUUGGCUUGCCUUCCCAAUCACGCAGAAAAGAAAAAUACUCUACAGUCUCUACUCCAAUCAGGCCUAUUGCAAAAAAUAAUUUCUCCAGUCCAAUCAAGACUCCAAUCAUGUAUUGCAUCGAUCAGUCAGCAGCUUCAUGCAAGGUGAUCGAGCAAGGUUAUGAAUAUAAAGUCAAUAUGUGAGGAAGCUUCAUAUCGAAUGAACCUGGCUCCUGCCGACAGCAAACCAUUGGUAUAUCUUGUAGCAAGCCGCCAUGUGCUGGAGCGUCUUCAUGUCCGACAGGGUCGCCGGCUGAUUUUCAUGGGCACCAAAUUUUGUAGAUUAGGGGCGAGAUUAGUUUCCAAUUUUCAUCGUCGGCUUCUACGUUGUUACCAAUAAAACAAACUUAGAGGCCACCUCUAGCAGGUCCCCAUACAUGACCUUCCUCCAUGACAAUUUCUCGCCGGUCCUCUACCUGAGCAGCAAACAUAUUCCUUUUUGAUUCUGGUUGAGAUCCCAUGAUGAAGGCCUUGCUAGGAAGCAGAUAGUGGAUGACCCUAAACAAUUUGGAAAAGAAGUCUGAGUAUAUUACCUCAGUUGCAGCGGAUUGGCUUUGUGUACGUGUUGGAUUGGCGCUCUUCCUUAUGGCUAGGACGUACGGGCCACGGCCUCUUCCUUAUGGUUAGGACGUAUGUUGCCGAGGGCAAGAGCAUGGCUGUGGAGAAGGGCGGCGGCAAUCCUAAUCAUCCUAAUUUUUUCUGUUUUCUUUUUUUUCGUAAGGUUGCCCCUGUAUUCUUUUUCUUUUUAAUAGGGUUUCUAUAUACUGCCUUAGCUUGGGCGUGGUGGACAGGAGGAAAUUGAUUGGCUAGUGGUCGGAUGUUUAUAACCUUUAUAAUGGCAAUGGUGGGUAAUAUGUUUAUAACCUUUAUAAUGGCAAUGGUGGGUAAUUUUUUCACUUAAUUCUAAUCUAAUGGCUAUAUAAUUUCAGUCAAGAAAAUAAACGGUUGGAUGUUUCUGUUUUUUGUGGUAAUUUCUAGAUUAUUUUCUUUUUUUUUGGUGAACCCAUCAAAUACUUUUUAUAUAUAAUAGAUAUCUCUAUGGACUAAUGGUUGUCUUGAGUUAUAUUUGAAGGAUUUGUCCAUAGGAUUUUCUUGAAGUCCAUGUGUUGGUUUUAAGGAGUUUAUGAGAUGACCAAAGUGGUAUUCUAGGAUCUAUCCAAAGAUUGGUCAUGAUGGAGUUGAGCUUAUUGCAAGUAUGUCUUAAAGAACAAGAAGAUUGUGUGAACAUUCAUGUUUACCUUCAAGACAUCAUCUUUAUAUGAUACAAGGUUGAUCAAUACUAAGUCAAAGAGUGGAUCAAGUUGAUCAACACACAAAGCGUACAAGAUGUACCAAGCGGGAUCAAGUGAUCUCAUGGUAUGCUAAGCAUUGUCCAUUGCGCUUUGUGUACUAACCCGGGUUCUAUGUGAGAGUUCCUUCUGGGGUUAGGUUUGGCUCCAUGGCAUGCAUCAAAAGGAAGAUAUCGUACAACCCAUGGAGGAUGGCAUCAAGUGGUGAUCGUCAUCAAGAUUGCAGUGUGGAAGUUCAAGUGGAGCAUCACGAAGAGAUCAUGCUUGAAGCUUGCCGUCCAUUGUGGUGACAAUGGACUUGUGAAGAUGUGCCGAAGGGUGGCUCACCCAUAGUGGAGUAUGGGGGAGCAAUCUACUAGUCUUCAUCGAGCAGGCCCAAUUAAGAAAGGUGGUCCAUAUUGAGGAGGUCAAGUCCGUCAUCAUCUAGCUCAAGUGGACUAUGCACAAGGCAAAGGUUUGCCCUUGAUAGGUUUUCUAUUUUACCGGUCUCAUGAUGGUAGUUGGGAGACCGGGUUAUAGGAUCAAUAGCCGUACUAUCAAGGGGGGCUCUCGAAUGAGUAGCUUGAUCGUAUCCUUUGUUGAGAGCUCAAACCAUUGCAUUCUUGCAUCAUCUUUCUUGGUUCUUGUUUGGCCUUUGCUUUGAGACUCCUUGAGCUUUUGGUCACCUUCAUGACAAGUUCAAUUUCAUCGAGAACCGAUUUCGGUUGCUUCUUC